UUUUUUUUUUUUUUUUUUUUUUUUUUGGUCUUUUGUCUCCUAGGGUUGCACCCAAGGCAUGCAGAGGUUCCCAGGCUGGGGGGUCUGAUCAGAGUUCUGCCGGCCUAUGCCACGGCCACGGCCACAGGGGAUCUGAGCCACACCUGCGACCUACAUCACAGCUCACAGCAACGCUGAAUCCUUAACCCACUGAUCGAGGCCAAGGAUUGAACCUGAGUCCUCAUGGAUAUAAGUCAGGUUCACUAACCACUGAGCAAUGACAGGAACUCCCGGAUAGGGCUUUUAAUUCAACCUAAAGACAUCUCUCAACUUGGAGAAUUCAGCCUUCAAAAGCUUCUACAGCUUCGCAGCACAGCAGCGAGGAUGUUUAAUACAUAAUAGAUAAAAAAUUUCUUCCAAGAAAAAUAAAAUAAAGAUUCUCAUACCCCCCCCCAUGCACGUACCAAUUCCUAUUCUAAAGUUAACCCAUGGCUUGUACUGUUAAUACUUGACUAAUACUUAACUGGAAAUCUCCAUUCAAAAGACUGAAACUAAAUCUUCACCCCAAAACGAAAACAAACUAAACAGAGUUACCUUGAGGUUUAUGUGACUUGAGGUUUCUGUUAUGAGGGUUCUGUUGAGGUUCAGGUCAACACACAUACAAGGAGAAACACACAUACAAAGAGCAAAGCCAGUGAUGGAACACACAUAGGGAUGAUGUUUACACAAGGUCAGCGGAAGGUCAGGAAAAGCUCGGUUCGCACUCCUGUGAGGCCGGAGGUGCCAGAUCCCACCCCGGCACAUCCAGGAAUGGGGAGGCAGGGAGGAAGCCAUUCCUGGCGGUCCAGUUUUAGAAGCUCCACAUCAAAGACGAGAGUGGCAUUUGGCGGCAUGAUGCCUGGGUGCCCAGUGGCACCAUAGGCAUAGUCUGGGGAGAUAGCUUGGCUCUCUGACCCACACGCAUCUGGGCGACCCCUGCCUCCCAGCCUCGGAUCACCUCCCGCUUGCUUAGCGCAAACUUAAAGGGCUUGUUUCUGUCCUGGGAGGAAUAAAUUCUUUCCACCCUCAAGCAUCCCGGGGCAGUGCCCCCCGCAGGGCUGGCCGCUUCGGAAAGGUGCGCCGGUCUUGGGGCGGGGAUGGGUGCGGGGAGGCGGGGGACGGCGGUCUCCACCUGCGCUCCCAUGGUGGUGGCCCUGGCGGCAGACCAGAGGGCGGGUGACAGGCAGCGUGGAAUGAGAGCGGACCUGGCGGCGAGUCCCAGUCUCUGCUUAGUCGCUCCGCGCGAUGCCCUCGCACGCCCAACGCCAGAUCCUUAACCCACUGAGCAAGGCCAGGGAUCAAACUGGCAUCCUCAUGGAGAUUAGUCGGGUUCUUAACCCGCUGAGCCACAAAGGAACUCCAGGCAGGCUUAUUAAAACAAGAACCAGGAAAGCAAAGGCCUCCUGGCAGUUGCCAUAGGUCUUGAUGUACAGAANGACAAAAUAAAUAAAUAAAUAAAUAAAUAAAUAAAACGCGGGGACAGGUACAGAGGCCUAAUUGUCCUUCCUUUUCCAUAGCGGGACUCCACUUAGUUCACCAGCCCCCAUUUCCAGUCUGGAAUUGUCCUUGUUUGUUAGGGCGGCUGUAAAAGCCUACAAACGUGAGGCUUUUAACAACAGAAACUUACAGUCUCAUAGUUCUGGAAUCAGGCCGGAAGUCUGAAAUCAGGGUCAGCAGUGGCCUCAGUCUCUGCUGAAGCACCAGCAGAGAGGGUGUUACAUGGCUCUCUGGUAGCAUCUGGCAGCUGCCUGUCAUCCUUGGGGUCCUGGGCUUGGGAAUGCAUUGCUCCCGGCUCCCUCUGUCAUUACCUGGCGUCUCCCUCUGGGUCCC
rnacentral:lncRNA from 1 species